UGCAUAUCCCCAAAGCGGAGGAAAAGAAACCAACAGGGAUUGCCCUAGUAACGGCGAGUGAAGCGGCAACAGCUCAAAUUUGAAAUCUGGCUCUUUCAGAGUCCGAGUUGUAAUUUGCAGAGGGCGCUUUGGCUUUGGCAGCGGUCCAAGUUCCUUGGAACAGGACGUCACAGAGGGUGAGAAUCCCGUACGUGGUCGCUAGCUAUUGCCGUGUAAAGCCCCUUCGACGAGUCGAGUUGUUUGGGAAUGCAGCUCUAAAUGGGAGGUAAAUUUCUUCUAAAGCUAAAUAUUGGCCAGAGACCGAUAGCGCACAAGUAGAGUGAUCGAAAGAUGAAAAGCACUUUGGAAAGAGAGUCAAACAGCACGUGAAAUUGUUGAAAGGGAAGCGCUUGCAGCCAGACUUGCUUGCAGUUGCUCAUCCGGGCUUUUGCCCGGUGCACUCUUCUGUAGGCAGGCCAGCAUCAGUUUGGGCGGUGGGAUAAAGGUCUCUGUCACGUACCUCUCUUCGGGGAGGCCUUAUAGGGGAGACGACAUACCACCAGCCUAGACUGAGGUCCGCGCAUCUGCUAGGAUGCUGGCGUAAUGGCUGUAAGCGGCCCGUCUUAACCCCCCG
rnacentral:rRNA from 1 species